rnacentral:rRNA from 1 species
UGGGGGAUAUUGCACAAUGGGCGAAAGCCUGAUGCAGCGACGCCGCGUGGGGGAUGAAGGCUUUCGGGUUGUAAACCUCUUUCGCUAUCGAACAAGGCCCGCUUAGGGUGGGUUGAGGGUAGGUGGAGAAGAAGCGCCGGCUAACUACGUGCCAGCAGCCGCGGUAAUACGUAGGGCGCGAGCGUUGUCCGGAAUUAUUGGGCGUAAAGGGUUUGUAGGCGGCUUGUUGCGCCUGCUGUGAAAACGCGGGGCUUAACUCCGCGCGUGCAGUGGGUACGGGCAGGCUUGAGUGUGGUAGGGGUGACUGGAAUUCCAGGUGUAGCGGUGGAAUGCGCAGAUAUCUGGAGGAACACCGAUGGCGAAGGCAGGUCACUGGGCCAUUACUGACGCUGAGGAGCGAAAGCAUGGGUAGCGAACAGG